rnacentral:rRNA from 1 species
GACGUAGGGCGCGAGCGUUGUCCGGAUUUAUUGGGCGUAAAGAGCUCGUAGGCGGCUUGUCGCGUCGACCGUGAAAACUCGGGGCUUAACCCCGGGCCUGCAGUGGGUACGGGCAGACUAGAGUGCGGUAGGGGAGAUUGGAAUUCCUGGUGUAGCGGUGGAAUGCGCAGAUAUCAGGAGGAACACCGAUGGCGAAGGCAGAUCUCUGGGCCGUAACUGACGCUGAGGAGCGAAAGCAUGGGGAGCGAACAGG